rnacentral:rRNA from 1 species
AGGACGAACGCUGGCGGCGUGCCUAACACAUGCAAGUGGAGCGACGAACCAGGCUUCGGCCUGGGGCAGAGCCGCGAACGGGUGAGUAACACGUGGGUAACCUGCCCUGAUGAUUGGGACAACCCGAGGAAACUCGGGCUAAUACCGAAUGUGCCCUCCGGCCUCAAGGCCGUUGGGGAAAGGAAGCUUCGGCCUCCGCAUCGGGAUGGGCCCGCGGCCCAUUAGCUUGUUGGUGAGGUAACGGCUCACCAAGGCAACGAUGGGUAGCUGGUCUGAGAGGACGAUCAGCCACACUGGGACUGAGACACGGCCCAGACUCCUACGGGAGGCAGCAGUGGGGAAUCUUGCGCAAUGCGCGAAAGCGUGACGCAGCAACGCCGCGUGGGGGAAGACGGCCUUCGGGUUGUAAACCCCUUUCAGUUGGGACGAUAAUGACGGUACCUGCAGAAGAAGCUCCGGCCAACUACGCGCCAGCAGCCGCGGUAA